GUGAUGAGGAACAGUUAAUUUAUUAUGGUUAGAACAAAAAUGAUUUCUAUGAUUAUAAAGUAACUAGGGCGGACUGAUGUU
rnacentral:snoRNA from 1 species